rnacentral:pre_miRNA from 1 species
UUCUGUGUAUGGCACUGGUAGAAUUCACUGUGGACAGUUUCAGUCAGUGAAUUACCGAAGGGCCAUAAACAGAG